UGUCCUCAGGGAAAAGUUCUGACAAAAGCUACACCAGAAAAUCAUGGAGGGUUUGGAUGAUUGCAACCUUUCGGUUCUAAAUGGAUGAAACUAAAGAAAAGGCGUCUCAUGGAUAUCUCACCAUGCGACCAGGGAGAAGAUUAUGAUGCAGAUUCAAGUGGUGGAUCAAACAUGCUUUUGCCACCAAGGAGCAGUUCUGGUGACGACAGUUCCCUGUUCAGAGCACUACCAACUCUCUUCCCAUCAUGAGCUGCACCACCCAAGAAGAUGGGACAUGCCAGUGAAGCACUGAUUCAUGUCCUUCAG